GAAUGACUUCCGGAUGGGAGCCAAUUCAAUUCAGACUACGAGUACUUUGGCACAAUGCUGGACACCCGGGAGAAACUGAACGCGGCCACGGCCAGCCAGGUUCCUCAGCUGACUGAAACAGUGAGCCGGUUCGCAGGUCACAUAGCGCUGAGGCUGGUCCAUGAUCAUCUGCUGCGGAUGGACCUGAUGAAGUACGACCGCAUCAUACUUACUCAAGUGGCUCAGAUCAACGGGAAAGUCGAGGCUGUUCAGAGGUGAUAGCCGGUAGCCAGUCCCAACCAGCUGGAUGUCGCAUCCUGACAGAGUGCUCCCCUCACUGGUGAACUGGACUGUCAGCUGUGAGGGUCUACAGGGACCUUCUGUCAUCUGGAACCGGCCCAGAAGAGCCCCUAC